rnacentral:rRNA from 1 species
AUUGAACGCUGGCGGCAGGCCUAACACAUGAAAGUCGAACGAGUGGCGGACGGGUGAGUAAUGUCUGGGAAACUGCCUGAUGGAGGGGGCUAACUACUGGAAACGGUAGCUAAUACCGCAUACCAUCAAAUGUUCCCAGAUGGGAUUAGAUAGUAGGUGUGGUAAUGGCGCACCGAGGCGACGAUCCCUAGCUGGUCUGAGAGGAUGACCAGCCACACUGGAACGUAGACACGGUCCAGACGCCUACGGGAGGCAGCAGUGGGGAAUAUUGCACAAUGGGCGCAAGCCUGAUGCAGCCAUGCCGCGUGUGUGAAGAAGGCCUUCGGGUUGUAAAGCACUUUCAGCGAGGAGGCGUUACUCGCAGAAGAAGCACCGGCUAACUCCGUGCCAGCAGCCGCGGUAAUAC